UACGUAGGGUCCGAGCGUUGCCCGGAAUUAUUGGGCGUAAAGGGCUCGUAGGCGGUUUGUCGCGUCGGGAGUGAAAACUCAGGGCUUAACCCUGAGCGUGCUUCCGAUACGGGCAGACUAGAGGUAUGCAGGGGAGAACGGAAUUCCUGGUGUAGCGGUGGAAUGCGCAGAUAUCAGGAGGAACACCGGUGGCGAAGGCGGUUCUCUGGGCAUUACCUGACGCUGAGAAGCGAAAGCAUGGGGAGCGAACAGG
rnacentral:rRNA from 1 species